UAAAAGGUGGCCGAGGUAUAGGCGUCGGACUGAAGGUCCGUUCACGGCGAUUAUUCCGCCCCUUUUAA
rnacentral:tRNA from 1 species